rnacentral:rRNA from 1 species
UAGGGAAACUUCGGCAAUGGACGAAAGUCUGACCGAGCAACGCCGCGUGAGUGAAGAAGGUUUUCGGAUCGUAAAACUCUGUUGUUAGAGAAGAACAAGGACGUUAGUAACUGAACGUCCCCUGACGGUAUCUAACCAGAAAGCCACGGCUAACUACGUGCCAGCAGCCGCGGUAAUACGUAGGUGGCAAGCGUUGUCCGGAUUUAUUGGGCGUAAAGCGAGCGCAGGCGGUUUCUUAAGUCUGAUGUGAAAGCCCCCGGCUCAACCGGGGAGGGUCAUUGGAAACUGGGAGACUUGAGUGCAGAAGAGGAGAGUGGAAUUCCAUGUGUAGCGGUGAAAUGCGUAGAUAUAUGGAGGAACACCAGUGGCGAAGGCGGCUCUCUGGUCUGUAACUGACGCUGAGGCUCGAAAGCGUGGGGAGCAAACAGG